AWACAUGCAAAUSGGUACGKUUCUUUUUCCACMGGAGCUUGCUCCACCGGAAAAAGARAGAGUGGCGAACGGGUGAGUAACACGUGGGUAACCUGCCCAUCAGAAGGGGAUAACACUUGGAAACAGGGUGCUAAUACCGUAUAACAAUCGAAACCGCAUGGUUUUGAUUUGAAAGGCGCUUUCGGGUGUCGCUGAUGGAUGGACCCGCGGUGCAUUAGCUAGUUGGUGAGGUAACGGCUCACCAAGGCCACGAUGCAUAGCCGACCUGAGAGGGUGAUCGGCCACAUUGGGACUGAGACACGGCCCAAACUCCUACGGGAGGCAGCAGUAGGGAAUCUUCGGCAAUGGACGAAAGUCUGACCGAGCAACGCCGCGUGAGUGAAGAAGGUUUUCGGAUCGUAAAACUCUGUUGUUAGAGAAGAAYAAGGAUGAGAGUAACUGUUCAUCCCUUGACGGUAUCUAACCAGAAAGCCACGGCUAACUACGUGCCAGCAGCCGCGGUAAUACGUAGGUGGCAAGCGUUGUCCGGAUUUAUUGGGCGUAAAGCGAGCGCAGGCGGUUUCUUAAGUCUGAUGUGAAAGCCCCCGGCUCAACCGGGGAGGGUCAUUGGAAACUGGGAGACUUGAGUGCAGAAGAGGAGAGUGGAAUUCCAUGUGUAGCGGUGAAAUGCGUAGAUAUAUGGAGGAACACCAGUGGCGAAGGCGGCUYCGGUCUGUAACKACGCKAGGYSAAAGCUGGRRCAAMCCCRG
rnacentral:rRNA from 1 species